UAUAGCAAGUCUGCUUGUUACCCAACAGCAGCUCCAGAGUUCGGGUUCUGGCAGUCAGCCGUUCAUCAUGUUUUCAUCAGUGGUCUUCUCUUUAUCGCUGAUUCUCAUAUUAAAUGAGGGAGUGGGAGUCUUGUGCCAGGAAGCGGAACCUGUCUCCAUCGCCGUGUACUAUGAGACCCUGUGCCCCGACAGCCAACGAUUCGUCAAGAGGCAACUUGCGGUUGUCUACCCUCAGCUCUACAAUAUCAUGAAGGUUGACAUCAACGCCUACGGCAAGGCCAAUGACACAGAGACGGCAGA
rnacentral:lncRNA from 1 species